rnacentral:rRNA from 1 species
CCUACGGGAGGCAGCAGUGGGGAAUAUUGCGCAAUGGGCGAAAGCCUGACGCAGCGACGCCGCGUGAGGGACGAAGGCCUUCGGGUCGUAAACCUCUUUCAGCAGGGAAGCGGUACCUGCAGAAGAAGCACCGGCUAACUACGUGCCAGCAGCCGCGGUAAUACGUAGGGUGCAAGCGUUGUCCGGAAUUAUUGGGCGUAAAGAGCUCGUAGGCGGCUUGUCACGUCUGCUGUGAAAACUCGGGGCUCAACCCCGAGCCUGCAGUGGAUACGGGCUAGCUAGAGUGCGGUAGGGGAGACUGGAAUUCCUGGUGUAGCGGUGAAAUGCGCAGAUAUCAGGAGGAACACCGGUGGCGAAGGCGGGUCUCUGGACGAACUGACGCUGAGGAGCGAAAGCGUGGGGAGCGAACAGGAUUAGAUACCCUUGUAGUC